UACGAAGGGUGCAAACGUUGCUCGGAAUUAUUGGGCGUAAAGCGCACGUAGGCGGCUUUUCAAGUCGGAUGUGAAAUCCCACGGCUUAACCAUGGAAGUGCAUCCGAAACUGGAAAGCUUGAGUACUUAAGAGGAUCGCGGAAUUCCCGGUGUAGAGGUGAAAUUCGUAGAUAUCGGGAGGAACUCCAGUGGCGAAGGCGGUGCUCUGGGCCGGAACUGACGCUGAGGAGCGAAAGCGUGGGGAGCAAACAGG
rnacentral:rRNA from 1 species